rnacentral:rRNA from 1 species
UACGUAGGGUGCAAGCGUUGUCCGGAAUUAUUGGGCGUAAAGAGCUCGUAGGCGGUUUGUCACGUCGGAUGUGAAAACCCGAGGCUUAACCUCGGGCCUGCAUUCGAUACGGGCUGACUAGAGUUCGGUAGGGAGACUGGAAUUCCUGGUGUAGCGGUGAAAUGCGCAGAUAUCAGGAGGAACACCGGUGGCGAAGGCGGCGACCUGGGUCGAGACUGACGCUGAGGCGCGAAAGCGUGGGAGCAAACAGG